AGAGUUUGAUCCUGGCUCAGAACGAACGUUGGCGGCGUGGAUGAGGCAUGCAAGUCGCACGUGAAAGUCUCGGACGAGUAAAGUGGCGGACGGGCGAGUAACACGUAAUCAAGCUGCCCCUGAGACGGGGAUAACCUCGGGAAACCGAGGCUAAUACCGGAUGGUUUCCGCGGAGCGCAUGUUGCGCGGAGUAAAUGGUGGGGUCCUUCGGGACCUGCUGCUCAGGGAGGUGAUUGCGUCCCAUCAGCUAGUUGGCGGGGUAAAGGCCCACCAAGGCGACGACGGGUAGCCGGCCUGAGAGGGUGGCCGGCCGCACUGGGACUGAGACACUGCCCAGACUCCUACGGGAGGCUGCAGUCGAGAAUCUUCCGCAAUGGGCGCAAGCCUGACGGAGCGACGCCGCGUGGAGGACGAAGGCCCUCGGGUUGUAAACUCCUGUCACGGGUUAUGAAUGUCACGGUGUGAAUAGCGCCGUGGUUGACGUAAGCCCGAGAGGAAGCACUGGCUAACUCUGUGCCAGCAGCCGCGGUAAUACAGAGAGUGCAAACGUUGUUCGGAAUUACUGGGCUUAAAGCGCACGUAGGCGGCAUUGUAAGUGUGAGGUGAAAGCCCACGGCUCACCCGUGGAAUUGCCUUGCAUACUGCAGUGCUCGAGUGUGGUAGGGGAGAGCGGAACUCCUGGUGGAGCGGUGAAAUGCGUAGAUAUCAGGAGGAACACCGGUGGCGAAGGCGGCUCUCUGGUCCAUAACUGACGCUGAGGUGCGAAAGCUAGGGUAGCGAACGGGAUUAGAUACCCCGGUAGUCCUAGCCGUAAACGAUGGGCACUAGCUUGGGGUCUCCCUGUGUGAUCCCAGGUGAAGCAAAAGUGAUAAGUGCCCCGCCUGGGGAGUAUGGUCGCAAGGCUGAAACUCAAAUGAAUUGACGG
rnacentral:rRNA from 1 species